GUGGGGAAUUUUGGACAAUGGGCGAAAGCCUGAUCCAGCCAUGCCGCGUGCAGGAUGAAGGCCUUCGGGUUGUAAACUGCUUUUGUACGGAACGAAAAGACUCCUUCUAAUAAAGGGGGUCCAUGACGGUACCGUAAGAAUAAGCACCGGCUAACUACGUGCCAGCAGCCGCGGUAAUACGUAGGGUGCAAGCGUUAAUCGGAAUUACUGGGCGUAAAGCGUGCGCAGGCGGUUAUAUAAGACAGAUGUGAAAUCCCCGGGCUCAACCUGGGAACUGCAUUUGUGACUGUAUAGCUAGAGUACGGUAGAGGGGGAUGGAAUUCCGCGUGUAGCAGUGAAAUGCGUAGAUAUGCGGAGGAACACCGAUGGCGAAGGCAAUCCCCUGGGCCUGCACUGACGCUCAUGCACGAAAGCGUGGGGAGCAAACAGGAUUAGAAACCCUGGUAGUCC
rnacentral:rRNA from 1 species